rnacentral:rRNA from 1 species
GAUGAACGCUGGCGGCGUGCCUAAUACAUGCAAGUCGAGCGAACAGACGAGGAGCUUGCUCCUCUGACGUUAGCGGCGGACGGGUGAGUAACACGUGGAUAACCCACCUAUAAGACUGGGAUAAUUUCGGGAAACCGGAGCUAAUACCGGAUAAUAUAUUGAACCGCAUGGUUCAAUAGUGAAAGACGGUUUUGCUGUCACUUAUAGAUGGAUCCGCGCCGCAUUAGCUAGUUGGUAAGGUAACGGCUUACCAAGGCAACGAUGCGUAGCCGACCUGAGAGGGUGAUCGGCCACACUGGAGCUGAGACACGGUCCAGGCUCCUACGGGAGGCAGCAGUAGGGAAUCUUCCGCAAUGGGCGAAAGCUUGACGGAGCAACGCCGCGUGAGUGAUGAAGGUCUUCGGAUCGUAAAACUCUGUUAUUAGUGAAGAACAAAUGUGUAAGUAACUAUGCACGUCUUGACGGUACCGAAUCAGAAAGCCACGGCUAACUACGUG